CUACGGGGGGCUCCAGUGAGGAAUUUUGCGCAAUGGGGGAAACCCUGACGCAGCAACGCCGCGUGAGUGAAGAAGGCUUUCGGGUCGUAAAGCUCUGUCAAGUGGGAAAAAGGCUUCAAGGUGAAUAGCUUUGAAGAUUGAUGGUACCACUGGAGGAAGCACAGGCUAACUCCGUGCCAGCAGCCGCGGUAAUACGGAGGGUGCAAGCGUUGAUCGGAAUUAUUGGGCGUAAAGAGCGUGUAGGCGGAAUGAUUAGUCAGAUGUGAAAGCCCUGGGCUUAACUCAGGAAGUGCAUUUGAUACUGUCAUACUUGAGUAUGGGAGAGGAGAGUGGAAUUCCCAGUGUAGAGGUGAAAUUCGUAGAUAUUGGGAGGAACAUCCGUGGCGAAGGCGACUCUCUGGACCAAUACUGACGCUGAGACGCGAAAGCGUGGGGAGCAAACAGGAUUAGAUACCCUAGUAGUC
rnacentral:rRNA from 1 species